UGGGGGGCAGCCAGGCACCAGUGUGCGGUCACAGUAGCAUGAGCAUCAGAAAUAGAAGUAGGCGAAGAUAGUAGAAGCUUGUUUAGGAGGACGAGGAGAGAAGCUCUGAAGAUAGUAGAAACUCUGUUUGAUUCAUCAAGCUCUGGAUCCUUCGGCGGCAGAGAGAUAGAGUGAAAAAGAGGUACUAGCGUGAGAGUUACUAUGAGAAGAAUAAUCAUUGUUCUUUUCAUUGGUACUAUAAAAAGAGGUACUUGUUUAGAAACAUUGUUCUUUUGAUUUUUAAAAAUUAAAAAUAUAUUUUAAUUUUGUACUAUAAAAUAACAUUAAAAAAACUACUAUACCUAAUUGUAAUUGAAUGGAUGGAAUAUAAUUUACAUGUCAAUAUUAUCUAGUUAUUUUAAUAAUAUAUUUU
rnacentral:lncRNA from 1 species